CAGGCAAUGAGCAGCGAUGGAGAGGUCCGACCGUCGGUUUAAAAAAGAAGCCAAACCAUAUUUGGGGAAACACUGGCUAUGGAUCUGCAGGAAUCUUCCAUGGUGCUGUGGAGCAAAGCUUCCUGAGUAUGGACACUGCUCUUCCAGGAGGCUGGAAGAAAUGGGAACCCAAGCCUCAAAGUCAUGGGACACCAACGUGUCAUGGCUUUUUUUGGUGGAUUCCUCAAGGGAGACCCGUCAGUCCAACAUCCUGAAAAGCACGUUGCUGCCACAAAAUCGCUUGAGCCGUUUAUGAAAAUGAACAAUUCGGCAGCACGUUUUCAAAUAAGCUACGCUGAGAAAUACAUUUUUAUAGCAAUUAAUGUGCAGAGCAACACAAUGACUGAAGUGCUGCCAAAGUGGCAGAUGAAAUCUAGAUGCAAAUGCUCGCCGUAUGAAGAAGAACUCUUCAUUUUGAGCAAAUUGCUGAAAAUUGCUUUUUUGUUUCCUUACAUGCACUCAUCAGACUUCGGGAACCGGGAAAUUGUUUUGGAAGUUUGCUUUUCUGAAAUCAGGACCAUCAUCUUUAUUAAUUAUGAACAUAAAUGCAAUACUGGGUGCACAUGAGAAAC